UACGGGGGGAGCAAGCGUUGUUCGGAUUUACUGGGCGUAAAGGGCGCGUAGGCGGCGCAACAAGUCACUUGUGAAAUCUCCGGGCUUAACCCGGAGCGGUCAAGUGAUACUGUCGUGCUAGAGUGCGGAAGGGGCUACUGGAAUUCUCGGUGUAGCGGUGAAAUGCGUAGAUAUCGAGAGGAACACCUGCGGCGAAGGCGGGUUGCUGGGCUGACACAUGACGGCUGGAGGCGCGGAAAGCCCAGGGGAGCAAACGGG
rnacentral:rRNA from 1 species